CCUACGGGAGGCAGCAGUGAGGAAUAUUGGUCAAUGGGAGAGAUCCUGAACCAGCCAAGCCGCGUGAGGGAAGACGGCCCUAUGGGUUGUAAACCUCUUUUGUCGGAGAACAAAACCCGGGACGUGUCCCGGACUGCGUGUAUCCGAAGAAAAAGCAUCGGCUAACUCCGUGCCAGCAGCCGCGGUAAUACGGAGGAUGCGAGCGUUAUCCGGAUUUAUUGGGUUUAAAGGGUGCGUAGGCGGUCCGUUAAGUCGGCGGUAAAAUGGCGGGGCUCAACCCCGUCGAGCCGUUGAAACUGGCAGACUUGAGUUGGCGAGAAGUACGCGGAAUGCGCGGUGGAGCGGUGAAAUGCAUAGAUAUCGCGCAGAACUCCGAUUGCGAAGGCAGCGUACCGGCGCCAGACUGACGCUGAGGCACGAAAGCGUGGGGAUCGAACAGGAUUAGAUACCCGGGUAGUC
rnacentral:rRNA from 1 species